rnacentral:rRNA from 1 species
GACGUAGGGCGCGAGCGUUGUCCGGAUUUAUUGGGCGUAAAGAGCUCGUAGGCGGCUCGUUGCGUCGGCUGUGAAAACCCGCAGCUCAACUGUGGGCUUGCAGCCGAUACGGGCGGGCUGGGAUUCGGUAGGGGAGACUGGAAUUCCUGGUGUAGCGGUGAAAUGCGCAGAUAUCGGAAGGAACAUCAGUGGCGAAAGCGACUUCCUGGACCAAUACUGACGCUCAUGUGCGAAAGCGUGGGGAGCAAACAGG